rnacentral:misc_RNA from 1 species
GCCCCAUCUAUGAUUUUUCAAGUCAAUUUCCUGGUAAGGAUCAGCAGGAUAAGUACACAGGGUGUACUUGUCAUUAACGUUAGCGAUUCGAAGAAACUUUUGAGCCUCUCCGGCGUCAUGCUUNNNNNACGAUGGUGUCUUGCCUGAUUGCCAUCGGCAGCACCGAAUAACCUUCAUAGUCAAUGUGCUCUCCGAUCAAGUUCACUCUCCCUGGAGAUCGAGC